rnacentral:rRNA from 1 species
CUAAAGAUACUGUAAGAGAGGAUCAGGUUCAAGACGAGCGCUUAAAUGCGCGGUUGCGGCUUGGUUCGCCUUUUGCGGAACAUGUCUUUUCUCGUUGUUAACUCUACUUCAACUUCUACAACACUGUGGAGUUUUCUACACAACUUUUCUUCUUUGGGAAGAUACGUCUUGUGCGUGCUUCCCAGAGGUGACAAACACAAACAACUUUUUAUUAUUAUAAACCAGUCAAAACCAAAUUCGUUAUGAAAAUAAAAAAAUUUAAAACUUUCAACAACGGAUCUCUUGGUUCUCGCAUCGAUGAAGAACGCAGCGAAAAGCGAUACGUAAAGUGAAAUGCAGAAAUCCCUGAAUCAUCGAAACUUUGAACGCACAUUGCGCCCCUUGGUAUUCCAGGGGGCAUGCCUGUUUGAGCGUCAUUUCCUUCUCAAACAAACAUGUUUGGUAGUGAGUGAUACUCUGUCAAGGGUUAACUUGAAAAUGCUAGCCUUUUAUUUGGUUGUGAUUUUGCUGGCUUGGAUGACUUUGUCCAGUCUAGCUAAAACCCAAAUGUCGUAUUAGGUUUUACCAACUUCGGCAGACUGUGUGUUGGCUCGGGCGCUUUAAAGACUUUGUCGUAAACGAUUUAUCGUUUGUUUGAGCUUUUCGCAUACGCAAACCCGCGAACAAAACUCUCAAAGUUUGACCUCAAAACAGGUAGGAAUACCCCCUGAACUUAAGCAUAUCAAAAAGCGGAGGAAAAGAAACCAACCCGGAUUGCCUUAGUAACGGCGAGUGAAGCGGCAAAAGCU